AUUGAACGCUGGCGGCAUGCCUUACACAUGCAAGUCGAACGGUAGCGGGCCUUCGGGUGCCGACGAGUGGCGAACGGGUGAGUAAUGUAUCGGAACGUGCCCUGUAGGGGGGGAUAACUAGUCGAAAGAUUAGCUAAUACCGCAUACGACCUGAGGGUGAAAGUGGGGGACCGCAAGGCCUCAUGCUAUAGGAGCGGCCGAUGUCUGAUUAGCUAGUUGGUGGGGUAAAGGCCUACCAAGGCGACGAUCAGUAGCUGGUCUGAGAGGACGAUCAGCCACACUGGGACUGAGACACGGCCCAGACUCCUACGGGAGGCAGCAGUGGGGAAUUUUGGACAAUGGGCGAAAGCCUGAUCCAGCAAUGCCGCGUGUGUGAAGAAGGCCUUCGGGUUGUAAAGCACUUUUGUCCGGAAAGAAAUGGCUCUGGUUAAUACCUGGGGUCGAUGACGGUACCGGAAGAAUAAGGACCGGCUAACUACGUGCCAGCCGCCGCGGUAAAAC
rnacentral:rRNA from 1 species